UACGUAGGGUGCAAGCGUUGUCCGGAAUUAUUGGGCGUAAAGAGCUCGUAGGCGGUUUGUCGCGUCGGCCGUGAAAUCUCCACGCUUAACGUGGAGCGUGCGGUCGAUACGGGCAGACUUGAGUUCGGUAGGGGAGACUGGAAUUCCUGGUGUAGCGGUGAAAUGCGCAGAUAUCAGGAAGAACACCGAUGGCGAAGGCAGGUCUCUGGGCCACUACUGACGCUGAGAAGCGAAAGCAUGGGGAGCGAACAGG
rnacentral:rRNA from 1 species